rnacentral:rRNA from 1 species
CCUACGGGAGUCCGCAGUGGGGAAUAUUGGGCAAUGGAGGCAACUCUGAACCAGCAAAGCCGCGUGAGCGAUGAAGGUCUUCGGAUUGUAAAGCUCUGUCGCAGGGGACGAAGUAUGACGGUACCCUGUAAGAAAGCACCGGCAAACUACGUGACAGCAGCCGCGGUAAUACGUAGGGGGCUAGCGUUGUCCGGAAUUACUGGGCGUAAAGGGAGUGUAGACGGGUUGUCAAGUUAAGUGUGAAAGCCUGCGGCUUAACCGCGGAAUUGCACUUAAAACUGACUCGCUAGAGUGCAGUAGAGGGGAGUGGAAGUCCUGGUGUAGCGGUGGAAUGCGUAGAGAUUAGGAGGAACACCAGAGGCGAAGGCGGCUCACUGGACUAAAACUGACGUUGAGGCUCGAAAGCGUGGGGAGCAAACAGGAUUAGAUACCCCAGUAGUC